rnacentral:rRNA from 1 species
AUUGAACGCUGGCGGCAGGCCUAACACAUGCAAGUCGAGCGGUAGAGAGAAGCUUGCUUCUCUUGAGAGCGGCGGACGGGUGAGUAAUGCCUAGGAAUCUGCCUGGUAGUGGGGGAUAACGUUCGGAAACGGACGCUAAUACCGCAUACGUCCUACGGGAGAAAGCAGGGGACCUUCGGGCCUUGCGCUAUCAGAUGAGCCUAGGUCGGAUUAGCUAGUUGGUGGGGUAAUGGCUCACCAAGGCGACGAUCCGUAACUGGUCUGAGAGGAUGAUCAGUCACACUGGAACUGAGACACGGUCCAGACUCCUACGGGAGGCAGCAGUGGGGAAUAUUGGACAAUGGGCGAAAGCCUGAUCCAGCCAUGCCGCGUGUGUGAAGAAGGUCUGCGGAUUGUAAAGCACUUUAAGUUGGGAGGAAGGGCAGUAAAUUAAUACUUUGCUGUUUUGACGUUACCGACAGAAUAAGCACCGGCGAACUCUGU